rnacentral:lncRNA from 1 species
CACAGCGAAAACGAGAGGUGAAGAAACCAGGCUCCUGCACCGGGGCGCUCGCCCGAAACUGGGGUCACUUCCUCCGGCCAGCUGAGGGUGUCCAGGUUAACGGCCUCACAUUUAUGACUCAGCGACUGCCAGCCGUCGGCUGUGGGUUCGUCGACCCCGAAGGGGACGUUUCCUCCUUCUCCGCAUCCCUAUCUGGUCCUGCCCACUCAAUCUCAAUGAGUGCAGGGGAAGCGGGUGUUCUGAGAUCAGGGCUCCUGCAGAGCACCAAACUUCUGCUACUGCUGCUGCUGCUGCUGCUGCUGCUGCUGCUGCUGCAAAGCAACACCAAUCAAAGUGUCCAGAUCAGCGCCCGUCGAAGUGUUUUCUUUGCCUGUUGCACCCGACACUUCCAGCCAAGCGUGAUUCCCAGCUGCACAUCUGCUCUACGCAAGACGCUGCGAGGCUGACAUGUGAGAAACGGGGGCCCGCGCCUUUCCCAGUGACGGCCCAGGAGACCCGCUGCAGACGGAGAGCCGAUGUGAGAACAGCCUGGGAGAGUUUCCGACCGCGCGCCACCCGUCGGCCCAUUAAAGAUAGCGCCUGUUUUCUCCCACCGCAGUGGAACGAGUUUGCAGUUUCAUCUCACAGGGAGACCAAACAAUAGUUGCACACAUGGUGCCAAUAGCUGCUCUAAGGCCCUUCUGGGGGGG